ACGGAUUAGUGUUGAUGCCAAGGGAAUAAUUCCAUCUCCAGAAAUACCCCUAUGAUUUCAGACUUUCCUCUUCUCUUUUCUUUUCUCUUCCCCCGCCUUCUCCGUUUUGCUUUAUUCUGGGCACUCGCCGAUCCAAAGGGCAAAAAAGUAUUUUUCUGGACUGGGCGAAGCUCCGAGGCAGCAAAGCAAAACUUUCCAUGAAUUCCUGUUGAUCCUGGAGUCGCGCUUUUACACAGCGGGAUGGAUUCAGGACAAAUAUAGGAUGCUGGCCGGGCCUUGCGGCUUUCCACAGAUAGCUGCUCGUGCCCCAGCCAAAGCAAACGGUACGGAUAUGAAAACCAACACCGAACUAGACGGGAAGAUAAUGCAAAAUGCUGCAAGAACAGUUGUGGCAUAACCCCAUGGACUCAGCACUGAGUGUCUGCAGGAGUGGUUCCCAGAUGUGGCAAAGCUGCCUUGUGUUGUUGGGUUUUUUUUUUCCUUUUCACCCUGGACUCCGCACAUGAGGGAGGUCUGUUGGACAAGGCAGGUGUUCUGGCCCUGCCAGAAGGCUUAAACCUUUGAAAAGGUCACAGCUUUUCUGUCAACCACCUUCCCCGCCUCUGCUAUAUCAAAAGAGAUCCAGGAAGGGCGGCAGCAUCUUUUCCAAAACACUAACGAGAGAAUCACUGCCUCCUCUGGAGAUGUUUUCCAAAAGAGCAGACUCCCCAAAUCCCAACGUUGCGUCUUGUGAGGUAUCCGAUAGAAAGCAAAAGCAGGAUUUUCCAUCCAUAAAGACAUCAACACCUUCUUCUGCCAGAAUGCCGACCUUCUCCACGCAGGAAUGUGGGACGAGGCCGGCGAGUCAUGGAAGACUCCACCAACCACGAUGGAAGAAAGCGGUCAUGGUGUUUUAUUCAGGCUUAUCAAGGGACCAGGGGAGGCGAGCCAGACUGGAAAACAAUGGCUGGUUCAGUCAUCAGCAACAAUGGAAAGCCGGGUGGGGUGACUUGGGGCUUGCCAGAGGCAGCUGGAGGGCCCCUCCCAGCAUUCUUCACCUUCGGCAACAUCCACCAACAGACCAGGCUAGUGACACUAUGUUGCUGCUGCGGCUGCUGCGGCUGCUACUUCGGUCUUCCGUGCCUUGGUAGCAAUAGACUCUGGACUCACUUGCAGACAAUGAACACCUUGUGUUAUCCUGGACACAAAACUGAGGCUCUUUGGAUUUUUGAGAGACAUUUCCAAAGGCGAAACUCAAUUUGAGAUGGAGAAAAUAGAUGCUCUUUUACUUGACCUCUGCAGAUACAAGAUCACUCUGGUUAAAUGUUGUAUAGUCAUUUAAUCAUAUUUGCCAGAAAUAGCGUUAAUCUCACCGGUGUAGCCGAGUGGCUGGAAGACUGAGGUACCGCUGAGAUUCUGAGAUUCCAUAGCGAACUCUUUUAUCCUUGGGAAACUUUUGGGAGCCUCAGGGUGUGGGAACGGGGCAAGCAUUUCAUGUCAUUAAAUCACUGCUAAAUCACCAGCCGGGUGU
rnacentral:lncRNA from 1 species